rnacentral:rRNA from 1 species
AACGAACGCUGGCGGCAGGCUUAACACAUGCAAGUCGAACGCCCUCGCAAGGGGGAGUGGCAGACGGGUGAGUAACGCGUGGGAACAUACCCUUCGGUUCGGAACAACGCCGGGAAACUGGCGCUAAUACCGGAUACGGCCUGUGGGCGAAAGAUUGAUCGCCGAAGGAUUGGCCCGCGUUCGAUUAGCUAGUUGGUGCGGUAACGGCGCACCAAGGCGACGAUCGAUAGCUGGUCUGAGAGGAUGGCCAGCCACAUUGGGACUGAGACACGGCCCAAACUCCUACGGGAGGCAGCAGUGGGGAAUAUUGGACAAUGGGCGCAAGCCUGAUCCAGCCAUGCCGCGUGAGUGAUGACGGCCUUAGGGUUGUAAAGCUCUUUCGCACGCGACGAUAAUGACGGUAGCGUGAGAAGAAGCCCCGGCUAACUUCGUGCCAGCCGCCGCGGUAACAC